UACGUAGGUGGCGAGCGUUGUCCGGAUUUACUGGGCGUAAAGAGCGCGCAGGCGGUCGUUCAAGUCGCGUGUGAAAGCCCCCGGCUCAACUGGGGAGGGUCACGCGAUACUGAUCGACUCGAAGGCAGGAGAGGGUAGUGGAAUUCCCGGUGUAGUGGUGAAAUGCGUAGAUAUCGGGAGGAACACCAGUGGCGAAGGCGGCAUCCUGGACCAUGACUGACGCUGAGGAGCGAAAGCCAGGGGAGCAAACGGG
rnacentral:rRNA from 1 species